GACGUAGGGCGCAAGCGUUGUCCGGAUUUAUUGGGCGUAAAGAGCUCGUAGGCGGUUUGUCGCGUCGAAUGUGAAAUCCCGGGGCUCAACCCCGGGUCUGCAUUCGAUACGGGCAGACUAGAGUUCGGUAGGGGAGUCUGGAAUUCCUGGUGUAGCGGUGAAAUGCGCAGAUAUCAGGAGGAACACCGGUGGCGAAGGCGGGACUCUGGGCCGAUACUGACGCUGAGGAGCGAAAGCGUGGGGAGCAAACAGG
rnacentral:rRNA from 1 species